UUAGGACGAACGCUGGCGGCGUGCCUAACGCAUGCAAGUCGAGCGGGGAUGGUAGCUGAAGGUGAUGAGCUGGAAGCUGCCAUCUUAGCGGCGGACGGGUGAGUAACACGUGAGCAACCUACCCUCAGCACGGGGAUAACAGCUCGAAAGGGCUGCUAAUACCCGAUGGGACCACGUCAUUGCAUGGUGAUGUGGUGAAAGGGUGGACGUAAGGUCCAUACCGGCUGGGGAUGGGCUCGCGGCCCAUCAGCUAGUUGGUGGGGUAACGGCCUACCAAGGCGACGACGGGUAGCCGGCCUGAGAGGGUGACCGGCCACAGUGGGACUGAGACACGGCCCACACUCCUACGGGAGGCAGCAGCGGGGAAUCUUGCGCAAUGGGCGAAAGCCUGACGCAGCGACGCCGCGUGAGGGAAGGAGCCCUUCGGGGUGUAAACCUCUUUGGACGGGGAGAAGUAGGAGAUAGUACCCGUUUAAAAAGCCACGGCUAACUACGUGCCAGCAGCCGCGGUAAUACGUAGGUGGCGAGCGUUGUCCGGAAUUACUGGGCGUAAAGGGUGCGUAGGCGGCCUGGUAAGUUGAGCGUGAAAUUUUUGGGCUCAACCCAAAAGGAGCGUUCAAGACUGCCAGGCUUGAGUGCGGGAGAGGACGGCGGAAUUCCCGGUGUAGCGGUGAGAUGCGUAGAUAUCGGGAGGAACACCAGUGGCGAAGGCGGCCGUCUGGACCGUAACUGACGCUGAGGCACGAAAGCGUGGGGAGCAAACAGGAUUAGAUACCCUGGUAGUCCACGCUGUAAACGAUGGAUGCUAGGUGUGGGGGAGAAGAACUCUUCCGUGCCGUAGUUAACACAAUAAGCAUCCCGCCUGGGGGGUACGGCCGCAAGGUU
rnacentral:rRNA from 1 species